GGACCCAGGGAAAUGUGAAGAAAUCAUUAACCAAUCAGUGUGAAAGAGGAAGGAAGUCACAAAUAUGGCAAUAAGAGGAAGGAAGUCACAAAUAUGGCAAAUUUGAUUGUAUAAAUGCUACCUGAAAAGUUGGGGGGGUGUGCUUGAUUUGUGGGAGACCACCAAGCACCCAGGCUUGCGCAACUCUGAAAUAAAUAAAUAAAUGUCUCUCCUGAGUGUGUAAUUAUUGGCUCAUUGCACACCGGGCAACGAAUCCGCUUUUCGGACAACAGUUUUCUGGCGACCCAGGUGGGACCCUCGCUGUAAAGCCUUGCCCGGAUCGUCUUGCCAGUUCCGGCAGGGAGACGCUGCUCAUCAGACUCCAGCGCGCACCGACCGUUUUGUUCGGGGACUCCGUGAGCACCCUCCCUGGUCGGAACAGCCAGGAGAUCAAGUGUACCUUCGGACCUGGAAGGACGAGCCGUUGGUAGAAAAGUGGAGGGGACCGUAUCUUGUACUGCUAACAACAAAUACUGCUGUGAAACUGCAGGGAAUUGAUUCCUGGAUCCACUACACCCGAGUGAAAGCAGUACCUCGAGAGACGUGGAAAGCUGAACAAGUUCAACCUCUAAAGUUAAAAAUACAUAAAGAUAUAUGAGUUGUAUUGGAAGCGAAUCGGUUUUAAAUUUAGAUUGUAUUCAGGAAAGAAUUGCUUUAAUCUGUUUGUUAGGAAUAGGGUUAAUAUUGUUGUUACGGUAUCUAUGGUAUCUGUGUAAAAAUGAUGUUCUCCCAAAUAACCAGGGGAGAAAUGUGGUGGUUAGUUUUUCUAAGUUACCUGAGCCAAACAAUUAAAGGGAAUCAGGAAGGAUUUUGGAGCCAUAAUCUCCAUUUGGAAGUAAUUAUGAAAUCUAUGAAGAUAAUUAACCAGAAGGAUUGCUGGGUGUGUACCCACUUCCCUGAACAUUCCAACAAGGGCUUCCCCCUAAUUGGAGUGCCUCUUAAUUUUUCCUUUAUGGAAUUUAUGAGGCAGAUAAGAAAUGAUAGUGAUCAAACGAAAUAUAAUGAAACAACCGAACAGGAAUGGGAAGUCCAGAGUGUGACAGGAGAUUAUUA